ACUCCUACGGGAGGCAGCAGUGGGGAAUAUUGCACAAUGGGCGCAAGCCUGAUGCAGCCAUGCCGCGUGUGUGAAGAAGGCCUUCGGGUUGUAAAGCACUUUCAGUCGUGAGGAAGGUAGUGUAGUUAAUAGCUGCAUUAUUUGACGUUAGCGACAGAAGAAGCACCGGCUAACUCCGUGCCAGCAGCCGCGGUAAUACGGAGGGUGCGAGCGUUAAUCGGAAUUACUGGGCGUAAAGCGCAUGCAGGUGGUUUGUUAAGUCAGAUGUGAAAGCCCGGGGCUCAACCUCGGAAUAGCAUUUGAAACUGGCAGACUAGAGUACUGUAGAGGGGGGUAGAAUUUCAGGUGUAGCGGUGAAAUGCGUAGAGAUCUGAAGGAUACCGGUGGCGAAGGCGGCCCCCUGGACAGAUACUGACACUCAGAUGCGAAAGCGUGGGGAGCAAACAGGAUUAGAUACCCUGGUA
rnacentral:rRNA from 1 species